GACGAACGCUGGCGGCGUGCUUAACACAUGCAAGUCGAACGGAAAGGCCUGCUUUCCCUUGUGGAUUGCGGGUACUCGAGUGGCGAACGGGUGAGUAACACGUGAGUGAUCUGCCCCCAACUUGGGUAUAAGCCUGGGAAACUGGGUCUAAUUCCCGAUAGGACUGCAGGGUGGUGCCUGUGGUGGAAAACGAGUUUCUAGUGGUUGGGGAUGAGCUCGCGGCCUAUCAGCUUGUUGGUGGGGUAAUGGCCUACCAAGGCGGCGACGGGUAGCCGGCCGGAGAGGGUGGACGGACACAUUGGGACUGGGAUACGGCCCAGACUCCUACGGGAGGCAGCAGUGGGGAAUAUUGCACAAUGGGCGGAAGCCUGAUGCAGCGACGCCGCGUGGGGGAUGACGGCCUUCGGGUGGUAAACUCCUUUCGACCGCGAGGAAGCCACCUGGUUGGAAGAGUGGUGACGGUAGUGGUAGAAGAAGCACCGGCUAACUACGUG
rnacentral:rRNA from 1 species